AGACCCGAAACCCGGUGAUCUAGCCAUGGGCAGGUUGAAGGUUGGGUAACACUAACUGGAGGACCGAACCGACUAAUGUUGAAAAAUUAGCGGAUGACCUGUGGCUGGGGGUGAAAGGCCAAUCAAACCGGGAGAUAGCUGGUUCUCCCCGAAAGCUAUUUAGGUAGCGCCUCGUGAAUUCAUCUCCGGGGGUAGAGCACUGUUUCGGCUAGGGGGCCAUCCCGGCUUACCAACCCGAUGCAAACUGCGAAUACCGGAGAAUGUUAUCACGGGAGACACACGGCGGGUGCUAACGUCCGUCGUGAAGAGGGAAACAACCCAGACCGCCAGCUAAGGUCCCAAAGUCAUGGUUAAGUGGGAAACGAUGUGGGAAGGCCCAGACAGCCAGGAUGUUGGCUUAGAAGCAGCCAUCAUUUAAAGAAAGCGUAAUAGCUCACUGGUCGAGUCGGCCUGCGCGGAAGAUGUAACGGGGCUAAACCAUGCACCGAAGCUGCGGCAGCGAACGUAUCACCCAAGACAACUUUACGGAGUUGACGAUUGACGGAGCGAAGCGACGUCAAAGCGUUCAUUAAAGUCGAGUUGGCUUAGGGAUACGUUCGUUGGGUAGGGGAGCGUUCUGUAAGCCUGUGAAGGUGUGUCGUGAGGCAUGCUGGAGGUAUCAGAAGUGCGAAUGCUGACAUAAGUAACGAUAAAGCGGGUGAAAAGCCCGCUCGCCGGAAGACCAAGGGUUCCUGUCCAACGUUAAUCGGGGCAGGGUGAGUCGACCCCUAAGGCGAGGCCGAAAGGCGUAGUCGAUGGGAAACGGGUUAAUAUUCCCGUACUUGGUGUUACUGCGAAGGGGGGACGGAGAAGGCUAUGUUGGCCGGGCGACGGUUGUCCCGGUUUAAGCGUGUAGGUGUGUGUUCCAGGUAAAUCCGGUUCACUUUAACACUGAGGCGUGACGACGAGGCACUACGGUGCUGAAGCAACAAAUGCCCUGCUUCCAGGAAAAGCCUCUAAGCAUCAGGUAACAUCAAAUCGUACCCCAAACCGACACAGGUGGUCAGGUAGAGAAUACCAAGGCGCUUGAGAGAACUCGGGUGAAGGAACUAGGCAAAAUGGUGCCGUAACUUCGGGAGAAGGCACGCUGACACGUAGGUGAAGUGAUUUACUCAUGGAGCUGAAGUCAGUCGAAGAUACCAGCUGGCUGCAACUGUUUAUUAAAAACACAGCACUGUGCAAACACGAAAGUGGACGUAUACGGUGUGACGCCUGCCCGGUGCCGGAAGGUUAAUUGAUGGGGUCAGCGCAAGCGAAGCUCCUGAUCGAAGCCCCGGUAAACGGCGGCCGUAACUAUAACGGUCCUAAGGUAGCGAAAUUCCUUGUCGGGUAAGUUCCGACCUGCACGAAUGGCGUAAUGAUGGCCAGGCUGUCUCCACCCGAGACUCAGUGAAAUUGAACUCGCUGUGAAGAUGCAGUGUACCCGCGGCAAGACGGAAAGACCCCGUGAACCUUUACUAUAGCUUGACACUGAACAUUGAGCCUUGAUGUGUAGGAUAGGUGGGAGGCUUUGAAGUGUGGACGCCAGUCUGCAUGGAGCCGACCUUGAAAUACCACCCUUUAAUGUUU
rnacentral:rRNA from 4 species